CGGGGCGUCAUAGAGGGUGAGAAUCCCGUCUGUGACCGGCGAUUAAGCCCAUGUGAAAUUCCCUCGACGAGUCGAGUUGUUUGGGAAUGCAGCUCAAAAUGGGUGGUAAAUUUCAUCUAAAGCUAAAUACCGGCCAGAGACCGAUAGCGCACAAGUAGAGUGAUCGAAAGAUGAAAAGCACUUUGGAAAGAGAGUCAAACAGUACGUGAAAUUGUUGAAAGGGAAGCGCUUGCGACCAGACCUGCUUCCGGGCGAUCAGCCGUCCUUCUGGGCGGUGCACUCGCCCGUAGACAGGCCAGCAUCGGUUUCGGCGGCCGGAUAAAGACCUCGGGAAUGUAGCUUCUCUCGGGGAGUGUUAUAGCCCGUGGUGCAAUGCGGCCCGCCGGGACCGAGGACCGCGCUUCGGCUAGGAUGCUGGCGUAAUGGUCGUAAGCGGCCCGUCUUGAAACACGGACCAAGGAGUCUAACAUCUAUGCGAGUGUUUGGGUGUCAAACCCAUGCGCGGAAUGAAAGUGAACGGAGGUGGGAACCCGUUAGGGCGCACCAUCGACCGAUCCAGAUGUUUUCGGAUGGAUUUGAGUACGAGCAUAGCUGUUGGGACCCGAAAGAUGGUGAACUAUGCCUGAAUAGGGUGAAGCCAGAGGAAACUCUGGUGGAGGCUCGCAGCGGUUCUGACGUGCAAAUCGAUCGUCAAAUUUGGGUAUA
rnacentral:rRNA from 1 species